rnacentral:rRNA from 1 species
UGGGGAANUUUCCGCAAUGGGCGAAAGCCUGACGGAGCAAUACCGCGUGAGGGAGGAAUGCCUUUGGGUUGUAAACCUCUUUUCUCAGGGAAGAAGAUCUGACGGUACCUGAGGAAUAAGUAUCGGCUAACUCCGUGCCAGCAGCCGCGGUAAUACGGAGGAUGCAAGCGCUAUCCGGAAUCAUUGGGCGUAAAGCGUCCGCAGGUGGUUUCCAAAGUCUGCUGUUAAAGACUGGAGCUCAACUCCGGAACGGCGGUGGAAACUUGGAAACUAGAGUUCGGUAGGGGUAGCAGGAAUUCCCAGUGUAGCGGUGAAAUGCGUAGAUAUUGGGAAGAACAUCGGUGGCGAAGGCGUGCUACUGGACCGUAACUGACACUCAGGGACGAAAGCUAGGGGAGCGAAAGGGAUUAGAUACCCCUGUAGUCCUAGCUGUAAACGAUGGAAACUAGGUGUGGCUUGA